GCCCUUGUAGUUUAAUGGAUAGAACACUGGUCUUCGGAACCAGAUAUGGGGGUUCGACUCCUCCCGGGGGCA
rnacentral:tRNA from 1 species